AUUCUCACAGUAGGAGAACUAAAGAAACGAAAAAAAAAGCGGAAAAUUGUAAAAAUGUUUACUUUUUGUGUGGUAUGUAUUAUUUUUUUUGGCGGUUCUAUCCUUUUAUCCUUUUGGUUAACUGGUUAUUUAUUUAAUGAACAAACCGGCGAGCCUCAGAAAGGGGAUGAUGGAACAAAA
rnacentral:ribozyme from 1 species